rnacentral:rRNA from 1 species
GAUGAACGCUGGCGGCGUGCCUAAUACAUGCAAGUCGAGCGAACGGACGAGAAGCUUGCUUCUCUGAUGUUAGCGGCGGACGGGUGAGUAACACGUGGAUAACCUACCUAUAAGACUGGGAUAACUUCGGGAAACCGGAGCUAAUACCGGAUAAUAUUUUGAACCGCAUGGUUCAAAAGUGAAAGACGGUCUUGCUGUCACUUAUAGAUGGAUCCGCGCUGCAUUAGCUAGUUGGUAAGGUAACGGCUUACCAAGGCAACGAUGCAUAGCCGACCUGAGAGGGUGAUCGGCCACACUGGAACUGAGAAACGGUCCAGACUCCUACGGGAGGAAGCAGUAGGGAAUCUUCCGCAAUGGGCGAAAGCCUGACGGAGCAACGCCGCGUGAGUGAUGAAGGUCUUCGGAUCGUAAAACUCUGUUAUUAGGGAAGAACAUAUGUGUAGGUAACUGUGCACAUCUUGACGGUACCUAAUCAGAAAGCCACGGCUAACUACGUG